rnacentral:rRNA from 1 species
AGUGAACGCUGGCGGCGUGCUUAACACAUGCAAGUCGAACGAGAACGGGUUAUAGCUUGCUAUAAUUGUCAGCUAAGUGGCGCACGGGUGAGUAAUGUAUAGGUAAUAUGCCUCUUACUAAGGGAUAACAAUUGGAAACGAUUGCUAAUACCUUAUACUCCUUAUUAACUAAAGUUAGUAAGGGAAAGAUUUAUUGGUAAGAGAUUAGCCUGUAUUGUAUCAGUUAGUUGGUGGGGUAAUGGCCUACCAAGACUAUGACGCAUAACUGGUUUGAGAGGAUGAUCAGUCACACUGGAACUGAGACACGGUCCAGGCUCCUACGGGAGGCAGCAGUGGGGAAUAUUGCACAAUGGACGAAAGUCUGAUGCAGCAACGCCGCGUGGAGGAUGACACAUUUCGGUGCGUAAACUCCUUUUAUAUAAGAAGAUAAUGACGGUAUUAUAUGAAUAAGCACCGGCUAACUCCGUGCCAGCAGCCGCCGUAA